rnacentral:rRNA from 1 species
UUUGACUCCUCCANAGAACUUAGCAGAGAUGCUUUGGUGCCUUCGGGAACUCUGAGACAGGUGCUGCAUGGCUGUCGUCAGCUCGUGUUGUGAAAUGUUGGGUUAAGUCCCGCAACGAGCGCAACCCUUAUCCUUUGUUGCCAGCGGGUANUGCCGGGAACUCAAAGGAGACUGCCGGUGAUAAACCGGAGGAAGGUGGGGAUGACGUCAAGUCAUCAUGGCCCUUACGGCCAGGGCUACACACGUGCUACAAUGGCGCAUACAAAGAGAAGCGACCUCGCGAGAGCAAGCGGACCUCAUAAAGUGCGUCGUAGUCCGGAUCGGAGUCUGCAACUCGACUCCGUGAAGUCGGAAUCGCUAGUAAUCGUAGAUCAGAAUGCUACGGUGAAUACGUUCCCGGGCCUUGUCAA